rnacentral:lncRNA from 1 species
UAAAUAGGGCACGACGUCAUAUCCAAUUUUGCUUGGGUACGGACGUUCAUAACGAACAGAUAUUUUGCCUGUUUACAAAAAACAGCGUAACAUACAUGUCACCAGGGAACAGUGAACUGUUCCCUGAUGUCACAUACAUACAUACACACGAAUGGUAUCCUAAAGUUCCUUUGCUUGAAAGCAUAGGAACCCAAAAAUGUAAAUCUUCACAGCUUUUGUCAAAAUUGGGCGAUUUUUGUAGCUUCUGGAAGAACUGGUUAAAUGGGCUUUCUAACACAUUUAAUUGUAUUGUGCUGUGUGUGGUGACACCCAUUGUCAACUGACUGUUCUAGUUUCUGUCAAAUUUUGCUUGUUCAUGAGAGUUUGAGACCGUCCCCUUUUCUAUCAGACUUCUGCAACUAUCGGGACACAUUGGACCCUUUAAGAUUGAGAAUCUAAACUGACACCACACCACCAAUGUAUAUUCACCUUCAAGUCUUUGCCAAUGAAAAACAAAAUAGUCAUUUGCCAUUACGCUACAAUUUAAUACCACAAACACAAAUUAUUCUGCAAACAUGACUAAUUCACUUUUACAGAUUACAUUAUCAAUUAAAUACAAUUGGCGGUGGUACCACGUCUAACUAAAGCAUUACUUUACAACAUAGCAGUUUUUUUUUAACUUAUGUGGAAAAUAUUAAUUAAUAUAUUUUAUAUUUCCACAAAUAGUUAAAAAAAAAAUCACUUGCAUGAAGUGCACCAUCCCGACAUCUAUUUCAACAUUUAUAUUAACAUUUGUAUAAUUUUGUCAACUGAAGCAAGAUUGUACCUUGUAUCACAAAUGCAACAUUUUUACAUUACCACAUUUUUUUACAUGUAAUUUACUGUACACCAAAAAAUCCCAUCAGAAGGUCAACAUUAAUAAAGAAUAAGAAAUACGCUGUGUAGAUCUAACAUAAAACUUCUAACGCCCAUUUAGUAUAUCUACUAUAAUACUGAGUUGAUCUACUACAUUAUAGGCUCUUCUCAUUAACCAUCACCCCGCUGAUCCCCAAAGAGAAUUGGGGUCAAUUUCGGCAAAAGUAGGCCUACAUUGAUUUAACAGCAAUAUACAUAUGAUGUAGAAAAUAAAGUUAUAUAUUUUUUCCUCUACGACAUACAGGUACUGAGAAGGGUGGCUCAUUUUCGUAGGACAGCUGCUGCCUUAAUGCAGCAAAAUUAUUCAUGGAUUUAAAUUGCCACACCAGUUUUAUUACCCUGUACUCUGUCCAGCUUCCCACAAGAUCUUUAUAAAUGCAUCCAAAAACCUUUCUCUUUUUUUUUAUGAUAAAAAGUUAAAAUUUUAAAAUCUUCUCGUUAAAAAAUACCAGCUUUUCUUGGGGAUAUGUGCUUGGAAUUAGGAUACACUAUUGCUUGGAGAUAAAUCAUCCCCUUGUAUAACAAGACAUGUGUACAAACACACAUUAUAUCUAACUCAUUAUAUAUACUAUAAUGUACGAGAAUGGUAAUUAGCACCACUAAAACAUUCAAAACAGAGAAGCAAGUCGCUUUACUAUAUCGUAAUAACUAUGUCUUGAAACAGUUAUCUGUUGCGAGGCUGUAGCAUGAGCAUCUUUCUGGUGGAUACUGACAAACAACAUAUGUUCAUUAUCAUCAUUAAUAAUUAAUAAUAUUACAGUAUUAAUACUACAUGUUACAAGAUUGCUUAUAUAAACAGACAAAAAAAAUAGAUUAAAUUUGUUAAAUAAAUAACAUGAUUAUUAUUAAUAAUCAAUAAUUGUUACAGAUGCAGUAAAACUCAAACUUGUAAUGACUUUAAAUGAUGGCAACAUUCUAAAGAAAAUUCCAAUUCAAAUAUGCACAAUUCUCUCUAUACAAGUACCAUAGCAAUCAGCAAGUGAUCACACAUAGGUUGAUUCACUAUUAAACCUCAUUAAUUUCUUACCACUUUAAUAUCCAGAGCUCGCAAUUUCAUUAUCUAUCUGAAUUAAGACUCUAAUUCAACUUAAUUUACAUACGGUAAUUCAUUGACUGCACCAUUAGUAAAUGAAAGAUACAUAUCCCUAAUAAUUAUUAAGAAAGUAUAAACUCUACAGAUGAUUUAGAGAUGAAUUAAAAUUGUUAAAUCAAAUUCUUGUGUGUUAUUAUUUAAAAAAAAAAAAAAAAAAA